rnacentral:rRNA from 1 species
UACGGAGGGUGCAAGCGUUGUUCGGAUUUAUUGGGCGUAAAGCGCGUGUAGGCGGUUUCUUAAGUCUGAUGUGAAAGCCCUGGGCUCAACCCAGGAAGUGCAUUGGAUACUGGGAGACUUGAAUACGGGAGAGGGUAGUGGAAUUCCUAGUGUAGGAGUGAAAUCCGUAGAUAUUAGGAGGAACACCGGUGGCGAAGGCGGCUACCUGGACCGAUAUUGACGCUGAGACGCGAAAGCGUGGGGAGCAACAGG